rnacentral:misc_RNA from 1 species
UUAAGUUCAGCGGGUAGUCCUACCUGAUUUGAGGUCAGACGACAUGAAAUUGUCCGAAGACGAUUAGAAGCAUCCUUACACGCGAGACGCGGAACGGCGCCAGAAGUAGACUUAUCACACCGUUGUGACCGAUCUCGCGACGGAACGCUAGAUCGACAUUUCAAGACGAGCAGACCUUGUAAAGGACUGCAACAUCCAAA